CACUGCAAUAUAGUCAAAAUGCCAAGUAGAAAUCUGAAUAAGAAAUAAUACGUUGAAAGGCAGGACCCCAAUAAAUGAAAUACCCAGCAAUAAGAAGUACAGAAACUGCAUUUGUUCACAGCAAUAAGAAAGCGUUUUUUUUUAGAACCAUGGUGAACGUAUCCUCAGUUAACCAGAAUUGCCUUAGCCUCCUUGCGCAAGUGCAGACGGUACGACAGCAGGUGGGAAACUGAAGAAUUCUUACAGUAAAUCGCGAAGGUCAAAAACGUUUUACAAUAAUGCCGACGUGUUCUGCACGUAGGUAAGCGUGCACAGCAACGAAAAAAAAAAAAAGGAAACUUCACCUAUAGCACAGCUCCCAUGAUUUUUUUAACAAAGGGGAUAUUUAAAGCGAACAGGUUUUUCUGUAAGCUGGCAACUUCAUCUGAGAGAACGUUGCCGCGUCUACGACUAUGCGAAUGAUUUUUGUGGUGAACCUGGCCGUUUUCGCCGCGGUGGCAUUCUGCAUACCAAGUUGUGAGAGACCGAAAUGCCACUACCCUAAUGAUUGUUGGCAGCAGGCUGAGAGAGGACCAUGCCGAGCUGCGAUUGAAAUGUUCGUCUUCAACACGACCACAAGGCGGUGCGACCGUUUUAUAUGGGGAGGUUGCUGCGAGAACUGCAAUCUCUUCAAGACGAGAUAUCGAUGUAAAAAGAGCUGCUUGUGGUCCCGGCCAAGGGUGUCAACCUCGAAUUUGCUUCCAGGAAACCACAUUAACAGAUUACUACCAUAAUGUGAAGGAGGGGCCACACAAUCUGGGCUUUCAUUAGGCCGAAUUUUUAACACUCAGACAAUGUAUUCGGCAUUUCCUCAUAGCAAUCGGCAAGCAGGAACAUAAAUAGUAAACACGGCACGUAUCUUAAAAGGUCAAUUUUAUUCUUUAUUGGCUUUUGUUAGUUUCACAAUUCUUCGUUUAUUCACCGUAGAAUAUUUUAACAUAGCGUGUCUUCAAAUUUUUGCACAACCAAUAAAAGGUCUGCAAAAAACACCUAUUUUCACGUAAUUAUAUCUGUCUUUAUAUUUGAAGUGCAAAUAAAUCCUGAUAAAAGC